rnacentral:ncRNA from 1 species
UUAAAGUUUAAUUUUAGCUUAAAAUUUUUCUUUAUAGUUUAUUUACAUGUAAUUUAAAGAGGGGAUUUUUUAUUAUUUAAAUAAUAGUUUAAAGUAGAUAAUCGCAGUAGAUUAUAUUAAUUAUUAAAGAAAUUUAGAAUUAAGUAUUUAUAAAAAUAUUAACUAAAUUUGUGCCAGCAGUUGCGGUUACACAAAUAAUAUGAGAAAAAUUAAUAUAGAAUUAGUAAAAUUAAAUUUUGAUUAAUGAAAAUAUAAUUUUUAAGGUGAAAUUUAAUGUUAUAAAUUAAUUAAUAAUUAUUAUUUGAGUCUAAUAAGUUUAAAAGAUAAACUAGGAUUAGAUACCCUAUUAUUUUAAGUUAAUUUUGUUUCUAAAUUAGUAUUAGUUAUGUUCUUGAAAAUUAAAAAAUUUGGCGGUAUUUUAGUCUUUUCAGAGGAACCUGUCCUGUAAUUGAUAAUCCACGAUUAAAUAAACUUUCUUUAAAAAUUUAUAUAUCGUCGUAAGUUGAAUAUUUUAAAAGAAAAAAAAUAUUCAUAAUUUAUAAUUAUAUAAAAAAUCAGAUCAAGGUGUAGUUUAUAAGUAAGGAGAGAUGGGUUACAAUUUUUUUAUUAUUGGUUAUUGAUUUGUAAUUAUUUAUUUAAAUUGGAUUUGAAAGUAAUUAUUUAAAAUUUUUUAUAAUGAUUUUAGCUCUAAAAUAUGUACAUAUUGCCCGUCGCUUUUGUUUUAAGAUGAAAUAAGUCGUAACAAAGUAGAUUUACUGGAAAGUGAAUCUAGAUU